CACAGCGGGACGCCGUAACCCCUGACCCCGCCAGCACCUCGGCUUACCGGCUCCGCCACCUCCUGACACGCCGCGCCGGCGACUCCAUAUCCCAGGAGCCAGCGGCGACCCAGUCAACCUCCUGCCUUCCCAUGAUUGGACGGCUGGGCGGAGUCCCGCUUCUCUGAUUGGCUGGAUUCCUGCGGGACUGCGUGGCUGGCGGACAGGGAGCGGAGGCUCCGCCCACCAGAGCUGACGGGGGCGGGGCCUGGGGCGGGGCCUAGAGGGGGCGGGCCCGACCCGGAGGCGAGGUUCAGCCUGGCGCGCCGCAGUCCUCGCAGUUCAAACUUACGGCGAUCUCAAUUGGCAACUCCCACCCCCGGAAUGCUCGGGACACAUACAUUUUUGUCAUAGUUCCCGCCACUUCCUUUCAGGCAGCUACAUGCCUGUUUCCUCCUAAGAGAUGAUGACUCCGAGAUACACCUACACUCGAUAAUAAGGCACCAUGGCAGUCCCUUCUAGCUUCUUGAGCCACAGCCCCGUCCGUGCCCACUGACGCACCGAGAACACCCCACGUCUGGGAGGAACCGAGAAAUUUCGACCAGUGGAGCCAGUUCGGCCGCACCGGUCGUCCUACUUCCAAGCCUCACAAAACUAUCGGGAGAAAUGUUCAUUAUUUGGUAAGAACUGAGAUAGGAAGAAAGGGUAAACCCCAAAGAUGGAAACUAAAAAAUUAUGACAGCAAAAACAAACAGAAAA